rnacentral:rRNA from 1 species
AAUUCGCCCUUAGAGUUUGAUCCUGGCUCAGAUUGAACGCUGGCGGCAUGCCUUACACAUGCAAGUCGAACGGUAACGCGGGGCAGCCUGGCGACGAGUGGCGAACGGGUGAGUAAUAUAUCGGAACGUGCCCAGUCGUGGGGGAUAACUGCUCGAAAGAGCAGCUAAUACCGCAUACGACCUGAGGGUGAAAGCGGGGGAUCUUCGGACCUCGCGCGAUUGGAGCGGCCGAUAUCAGAUUAGGUAGUUGGUGGGGUAAAGGCCUACCAAGCCGACGAUCUGUAGCUGGUCUGAGAGGACGACCAGCCACACUGGGACUGAGACACGGCCCAGACUCCUACGGGAGGCAGCAGUGGGGAAUUUUGGACAAUGGGGGCAACCCUGAUCCAGCCAUGCCGCGUGCGGGAAGAAGGCCUUCGGGUUGUAAACCGCUUUUGUCAGGGAAGAAAUCCUUUGGGCUAAUAACUCGGAGGG